rnacentral:rRNA from 1 species
CCUACGGGUGGCAGCAGUGAGGAAUAUUGGUCAAUGGUCGGGAGACUGAACCAGCCAAGCCGCGUGAGGGAUGAAGGUACAGAGUAUCGUAAACCUCUUUUGUCAGGGAACAAAGGCGGGGACGCGUCCCCGGAUGAGUGUACCUGAAGAAAAAGCAUCGGCUAACCCCGUGCCAGCAGCCGCGGUAAUACGGAGGAUGCGAGCGUUAUCCGGAUUGAUUGGGUGUAAAGGGUGCGCAGGCGGGCUGUUAAGGCAGCGGCCAAAGCCCGGGGCUCAACCCCGGCCCGCCGUUGAAACUGGCAGUCUCGAGUUGGCGAGAAGUAUGCGUACUGCGCGGUGUAGCGGUGAAAUGCAUAGCUAUCGCGCAGACCUCCGAUUGCGACGGCAGCAUGCCGGCUCCACUCUGACGCUGAGGCACGAACGCGUGGGUAUCGAACAGGAUUAGAUACCCUGGUAGUC